GAUGAACGCUAGCUACAGGCUUAACACAUGCAAGUCGAGGGGAAACGCUGAGAGAGCUUGCUCUCUUAGGCGUCGACCGGCGCACGGGUGAGUAACGCGUAUCCAACCUACCCAUUACAGGGGGAUAACCUUUCGAAAGUAAGACUAAUACCCCAUGGCAUUUUAUGGUUGCAUCAUUAUAGGAUUAAAGAUUUAUUGGUAAUGGAUGGGGAUGCGUCUGAUUAGCUUGUUGGCGGGGUAACGGCCCACCAAGGCAACGAUCAGUAGGGGUUCUGAGAGGAAGGUCCCCCACAUUGGAACUGAGACACGGUCCAAACUCCUACGGGAGGCAGCAGUGAGGAAUAUUGGUCAAUGGGCGAGAGCUUGAACCAGCCAAGUAGCGUGCAGGAUGACGGCCCUAUGGGUUGUAAACUGCUUUUAUAGGGGAAUAAAGUGAGCUACGUGUAGUUUAUUGCAUGUACCCUAUGAAUAAGGACCGGCUAAUUCCGUG
rnacentral:rRNA from 1 species